rnacentral:rRNA from 1 species
GUUGAACGCUGGCGGCGUGCCUAAUACAUUCAAGUCGAGCGAAGAGGGGAAGGGUGAGUAACACGUGGAUAACCUCCUAUAAGACUGGGAUAAAUUCGGGAAACCGGUGCUAAACCGGAUACUUAUCGAUGGAUAGGCGCUGCAUUAGCUAGUUGGUAAGGUAACGGCUUACAAAGGCAACGAUGCAUAGCCGACCUGCUAGGAUGAUCUGCAACACGGGAACUGACACACGGGCCAGACGCCUCAGGGAGGCAGCAGUAGGGAAUCUUCCACAAUGGGCGAAAGCCUGACGCAGCAACUCCGCGUGAGUGAUGAAGGUCUUCGGGUCGUAAAGCUCUGUUAUUAGGGAAGCGGGACCUAAUCAGAAAGCCACUGCUAACUACGUGCCAGCAGCCGCGGUAAUUC